GAUGAACGCUGGCGGCGUGCCUAACACAUGCAAGUCGAGCGAACGGACGAGAAGUUUGCUUCUCUGAUGUUAGCGACGGAUGGGUGAGUCAUACGUGGAUAACCUACCUAUACGACUGGGAUAACUUCGGGAAACCGGAGCUAAUACCGGAUAAUAUUUUGAACGGCAUGGUUCAAAAGUGAAAGCCGUUCUUGCUGUCACUUAUAGAUGUAUCCUCGCUGCAUUAGCUAGUUGGUACGGUAACGGCUUACCAAGGCAACGAUGCAUAGCCGACCUGAGAGGGUGAUCGGCCACACUGGAACUGAGACACGGUCCAGACUCCUACGGGAGGCAGCAGUAGGGAAGCUUGCGCAAUGGGCGAAAGCCUGACGGAGCAACGCCGCGUGGGUGAUGAAGGUCUUCGGAUCGUAAAACUCUGUUAGUAGGGAAGAACAUAUGUGUAAGUAACUGUGCACAUCUUGACGGUACCUAAACAGAAAGCCACGGCUAACUACGUG
rnacentral:rRNA from 1 species